UUUUUCUUUUUUUCAAUAGAAUGCUGAGAAGUUUUUUUCAAAUUUCGGCAGUGGGGUUGGAAGUUUUGUUACAGAGAUGUCAUUAAAUUCUUUGAAUUCUUUUUGAAUAAAUGCUAAAAAUCACUUAGUGAUUUUUCCCCUCAAAAUUAUCUAAAAAUAACUAUUAGCAAAUAAUUCACAUCUCCUUCAGCUUUGUUGAGAGCAAUGAAUCAACACCAUUUGACUUGUGAAAAUAUUUGUAACCAGUGAUUAGAGUUAGUCACUUUCUCAACAGUAACACGAACAUUUCAAAGUGUUGCUUUGCUCGGGAAUCGGUGGGUUUCUGCGCCCUGAAGCAAUGCACCAUUGUAAGCUUUGAGAUGCAGGACAGGAGGGAAGAGAAGCAGGAGGAAGUCUGUUGUAAAGGGGAGCACACAGCUUUGAUCUCACUUCCUUAGAAUUUAGGAAACAGUGAAAAUAGGUUUUGAGGAUCUAGAAAUCGAUUCCUUUAAGACCACUGAAGACUCUACAAGGAAAGUUCUCCAGACCCUCCAACUUGGACAGGCAAGUCUGUGGACAGGGAAGUUGGCAUUGCUGGGAGCUUGCUAGAAGAGCAUCAUCUCUACCCCAUUCUGAACCAAAAGAAACAGAAGCUGCACGUAACAGAAAUCUCAUGGUUUUAUCAUCAACACGUUGAAGUUUGCGAGCACUGGACUAGACCGUUAGUACUCCCCUGUCCCCCAAACCUCAGUUCAGGCAUUGGCUCUUGUGUGGCUUCCUUCAAAGCAUGGGUAAUCAUUUAAACCCCUCUCCAGCAUCUGCGGCUCACGAUUCUGACUUCAGUUCUCCCAGACGUCCCUGGUUCAGUUUCCAGCUGCCUCUGAGACGGACUGAGCUGGGCUUCUUGACUGCAGAUAAUUUAAAGGCUGCUUAUGAAAAAGCAGAUGGCCCCCGCUAAUAAGUGGCAGCUGAUGGCGCUCACUUCCUUCUCACUAAUGACCAGAUUUGGGAAAGACAUCCGUUUUCUUCCCUGAGUGUCACUCGGACCAGCGAUUUUGAAUUUACGGGAUGUUAAGACUGGCGAGGCUCGCCUGUGUCACAGAGAGGUUUCCUCUUAUCAUCCUUGUGGCCACCGUGACCUUGUCAUGAGGAGAGCUACAAAUAGAACAGCUUUUUCUUUUUUCUUUAAGGAAAAGAAAAGCCUAUUCAAAUAGAGAGUCAAAAGCUAUUGGCUCCCGGAAGAAGAAAAUGGCUGUGAUUGUAUCUUUGAAAUGUUUUUGCCUUCCCCUGUAGUAUUUCUGCUGCGUUGACAGGCAUGCCAUCCAAGCUGGGCCUGGCUCUCCACCCGGCCCGGGGCUCUGUGUUCAGUUUUCGUGUGUGUGGGAUUCCAGACCUGUAUGUAAACAAAGGGGCCUGGCGCCAAGGCCUCCUUCUUGGGUGCAAACACCCAAGUGUCAGACGAGCAGUCCAUGGGAGGAAGCAAUUCCCUGGCAUCGUUCUCGUUUUGCCCCCGCAGCAGGAAAGCCUGCAUUAUGCUGAACGGACCAAGGACAGUUCAGAGUUCAAACCCUGCUCCACAGCUCACUGGCUGGGUGACUGGGCAACUGACCUAAACUCUCUCAACUGCUGAACCUCUAUCUUGAAAAUGGCAUGACUCAAAUGGUUUCAGGAGAACUGAAUGAAACUUGGAACACAAGUAGAAACUGGAGGGGAAAAUAAUCUGGAUGACCCAAGAUGCAGAUUUUACAAAGGGCGUAAUUGUGCUAAUGAUUAUGUAAGAUGAUGGUGGCCAAGAAGGGACACAUUUCUCUACAGCUGAUUGGCCACAGAUCCAUGCUACAGGUAAUGAGAACCAAGUCAGAACAGGAACAGACAAGAAAAGAGAGGAGGCAGGACAGUGGGAGCACAGCCCUGAGAGUCCUUCAAUGCGCUGUAUUUGCUGCUUCGAACAGCAUUUCAAAUACUGAAAGUAGGUGUUAAUAUCAGUGCUUCUCAAAGCUCCAUCCCAAUUGGCAGCUUCAGCAUCACCUGGGAGCUUGUUAGAAAUGCAAGUUCUCAGGCCCUGGAGUCAGAAACCCUGGCAGUGGGCCCAGCAAUCCGUGUUUUAGCAAGCCUGACGCGCUUCAGACAUACGCUAGAGGCUCAAAAUUACUGGUUUACGUGAUAGCACCUUAACCAUCUUUUCUAAAGCAAAGUAAAACGACAUCAUAAAUGUCUUAGCAUUUGAAAUUCCUCAGCUCCUUGACAUAUGCUGUGAAAAUUCCCAGAUAUUAUUGUCUGCUGAUUCUUGCACAGUCACCAGAUAUAACUUCCUCUACUGCCUUGGGUGGGAUUUGUUUAAUCAGGAAGCAGUUAAAAAAGAGAGAGAGAGAAUGAUUUUGAAAAUUAAGCAAAUGAAUCUGAUCUCUUUUCUGUUCUCUAGAAAUACCUUUCCUCUGGCAUGACAGUAUAUUUAUAACUUUCUUGCAAAUUACACCAAUCACCCAGGUUUCAU